UACGAAGGGUGCAAACGUUGCUCGGAAUCAUUGGGCGUAAAGCGCACGUAGGCGGCCCGAUAAGUCGGAUGUGAAAUCCCUCGGCUCAACCGAGGACGUGCAUUCGAAACUGUCGGGCUCGAGUAUGGAAGAGGGUCGCGGAAUUCCCGGUGUAGAGGUGAAAUUCGUAGAUAUCGAGAGGAACACCGGUGGCGAAGGCGGCGAUCUGGACGAUGACUGACGCUGAAGCUCGAAAGCUAGGGGAGCAAACGGG
rnacentral:rRNA from 1 species